GUGGGGUGCAAGCGUUGUUCGGAAUUACUGGGCGUAAAGCGCGUGUAGGCGGCCAAACGGGUCCGGUGUGAAAGCCCUCGGCUUAACCGAGGAAGUGCGCCGGAAACUAUUUGGCUAGAGUACAGGAGAGGAGGACGGAAUUCCCAGUGUAGAGGUGAAAUUCGUAGAUAUUGGGAGGAACACCGGCGGCGAAAGCGGUUCUCUGGACUGUAACUGACGCUGAGACGCGAAAGCGUGGGGAUCAAACAGGAUUAGAUACCCUGGUAGUCCACGCCGUAAACGAUGGGUACUAGGUGUUGUGAGCUUAACACUCGCAGUGCCGACGCUAACGCAUUAAGUACCCCGCCUGGGGAGUACGGUCGCAAGAUUA
rnacentral:rRNA from 1 species